AUUGAACGCUGGCGGCAUGCCUUACACAUGCAAGUCGAACGGUAACGGGCCUUCGGGUGCCGACGAGUGGCGAACGGGUGAGUAAUGUAUCGGAACGUGCCCAGUCGUGGGGGAUAACGCAGCGAAAGCUGCGCUAAUACCGCAUACGAUCUCUGGAUGAAAGCGGGGGACCGAAAGGCCUCGCGCGAUUGGAGCGGCCGAUGUCAGAUUAGGUAGUUGGUGGGGUAAAGGCCCACCAAGCCAACGAUCUGUAGCUGGUCUGAGAGGACGAACAGGCAAACUGGGACUGAGACACGGCCCAGACUCCUACGGGAGGCAGGAGUGGGUAAUUUUGGACAAUGGGCGAAAGCCUGAUUCAGCAAUGCCGCGUGCAGGAUGAAGGCCUUCGGGUUGUAAACUGCUUUUGUACGGAACGAAAAGGCGCCUACUAAUACUGGGUGUUGAUGACGGUACUAUAUGAAUAAGCACCGGCUAACUCCGUGCCAGCCGCCGCAGUAACAC
rnacentral:rRNA from 1 species